AUUAGAAAUCCUCUGAAGGCUUUUAAGAAAAGGAGAAAUGUUGGAAAGCCAAAGGUGAGUUGUUCAUCACAGGACCUCAAACUACUGCCCAGCCUAAAAUGAAUCUAUGUGCCUCUACAAGUAUUAAAAUGAUGAUAAAAUAUAUGAAAGUUACAGGAAAUACUGAGAUGAUGUUUGUGUUAAACACUCUGAUGAUUCAUUGGAUUAUGAUGAUGCAAUGUUGAAGAUAUGAUAGGGGCUUACUAAGGCCCUGUUUUGUGAUUCAUAUCAUUCUUAUUAAUGACUGUAGGCUGAGUGAAGCGUUUAAGCUGAUAUUACACUCAUGAAAAAGAUGUUCUACUGAGCCUAGAUGUGAAAAGCAAUUACAGCCAUGUAGAUGACAUUCUAAAAAGGCUAGAUUUGAAAGGAACUAAGAAGCUAUAGACAAUAAUAUUAUGUACUACCAAGGAAAUGGAAAUGACUAACUGAAGGGAAGACAGAUCUUAUUAUGAUCAUGUUUGUACCAUUUUUUAUAAAGCGAUAACUAUUAUUUCAUGUGCAAAAGACCAUAAGACCAUAAUUUAUGUGUACUUAUCUGCUGGUAAAUGAUGUAAGUGUGCAAUGAGGCAUUGUGUGUGUGUG